GAAGUUUCUGGUGGGAGCAAAAGGGGUUGAUUUCUGCCAUCCCUGGAGCCGUUCCCAUCACUGAGUGAGAGAGAGGAGCUGGGAGAGGAGCUGCUUCCUUCUCGCCUCUGCUUUCCUCUGCCGGGAUUAGCAGAAAGGUUGAUCUCCAGAUGAUGCAGUUAAGGGCUUCAAGGACACCAGCAGGCCUUUCUCUCCUGGGCGCCUUCAGCAUCGUGCCAGGUGCAGGAUAAAGAUCAUUAUGGAGGGCCUGGUCUCCACUUGGCCUAGCAGCCUUCCCUGAGCUGGGCCUGUGCCAAAGUAAAAGUGCCCAGGAGAAGGAGUGGGAAUCGGAAAAGAAUGAAGGCGAAGCAAGCAAUGGAGGAUCCUGAUAGCUGUGUCUCCUGAUCCAUACUACAGUCCUGUAAGUGUUGAAGAACCUCUUGAAUUUGUCUUCCCAGAAGAUGGAGAGGUAAGUCUGACUCCUACCACCUCCAGAGGCCAGACUGUCAGAGAGCUACAUAGGAAAAGACAGCAGUCCACAGAUAUCAAAGGUGUUGAAAAAGGAGCGUACUUCCUCUCUGUUGCUACUGAGUGCAGCACUGAACGCUGCCAAUACGAGAAUGCAGGUUUAGGCUAGGCAGUAGGAAUGCUUUCCCAAAUGGGAGAAGGGUUGCCAAGGUCACCUCAUGGAGUCCUGGGCUCCUCUUUGCUGAUGGUUUUCAGACAGAAGCCAGAUAACGAUGAUCUCCAAGGAGCCUUCCCACUCUAAAAUGCAAAGAUUCUUCUGUGAUCGUCACAUUGAGUCUGCAAGGGAUCUGCAAGUCCCGCCCCCCCCGACACCCAGACUGAUUCUAUUUGCCCCCCAAGUUGACUGCAGUUAUGAGGAAGCAGAUUUAAGCUAAGCCUUGAGAAUAAUUUCCCACGGGAGAGAUGUCUGCAGAGGCACACACAACCAUCCCAAGUACAGAUAUAGAUAGUAUAGAGGUACACUCGCACAUAUACUUGUGAACACUUUUUUAAUGUCAAUAAUUGGUAAAGAGGGACCAAUGAUGCAUGGAUUUAUUUUUCUGAUUGAAUCCCUUCCCUUGAUGGGAGUUGCAGCCCAACAACAUCUGGGACCAAGUUUGAGAAUCUCUUGUCUGUUGGCUUCCCAGAGGCAUCCAGUGAGCCCCUAUGGGGAAACAGCAUGCUGGAUUAGAUAGGCCUUGGGUCUGAUCCAGCAGGGCUGUUAGGUUCUUAACAGUCAGGUAUGAUGGGAGUUGUAGUCCAACUUCUAUUUCCAGUCAUUCUCUUCAGCCUGACCUACUUUACAGGACUAUUGUGAGGAUAGAAGAAUUGCAUAUUUGGAGGUCCCGGCAGUAAGGGCAGAUAUAAAUUUCAGAAGCCAAGGGUUCUUAAAAUUGGGUCCCCAGAUGUUUUGGGACUAGAAUUCCCAUCAUCCUCAGCUACAAAACCUUGCAGGAGUAUUGCAUGUCUUGUUGAUCAAAAGGGAAUCAUGCAUGUUUGGAAUGGAAGGGUCCUUGUAAGAGCCCUGAAAAGUCAGAAGUUAGAUUACACAGAAGUUAUAUUAGAAGUUACAAAUAUUUUAAAGUUGAUGCUUAUGCUUUAUUUUAAAAAUAUUUAUAUAUUUCAUAUUGAAAAGACUCUUGGUUAAAACAACGCAGGGUUGUGUACAGCCCAUCGGAUCCCUCUACUACCUCUUGGUUUCUCCCAAGACGUGCUCAAGAGAGAUUUCCAUAGAGAUCUGCUUGCACAGACAUUACACUUUCAUCUUGCUUCUGAAUCCUUGCAAUAGCUGCCACUUGAAGCACUAGAGGGGUGGGGAGGGAUAGCUAUUCACAGCAAUUAGCCAAGAAGCUAGGGAUGACCCACCUGUAGCUCAGCAGCUGCUGUUGGACUAGAAUUAGCAUCAUCCCCAGCUGCUGUGUUGAGACUACAGAUGAUCACCCCCAUCAAAACAGGUGGCUGGGGAUGGUAGAAGUUUUAGUAUGGUGGGAGUUGUAAUCCAACACAGUGAUAACAAAUAUAGUCCCCUGAUGCAAAUCCAUGGUGAAAAGCAUCGUGAAAGAAAGCAUCAGGGUUUGGGCAACAGCUUGUAUAAGGGGGCUGGAUAAAGAAAUCAACAUGAAAAUAGGAAGGUUGAAACUAAGGGCGAAUAAGGGAAGGCCAUUAAAGUAACACAUUGAUCUGAAUUUAAGAUGCUAUUACCCCAAAUGAUUUGAUGUUAAAACUCAGGGUCACGACGUAAAUUCAGAAUCCUGCUGUUUUAGGUAAGUAAAUGUUUAACAUAUAUUAAACUGCCACCCAUUCCUGGAGGGCCGGCUGCCCGUUGGUUCUUUCCUCCUGCCUCCCAAAUGACUUGAUGUUAAAAUUCAGGUUCAUGACAUAAAUUCAGAAUCCUGCUGUUUUAGCAAAGAAGAGCUUCCCUUUCAACAUCUAACAAAGGAUCCCAUCCUGCUUCUGAUGCACUGUUAUCAACGCGAGUGCUGAGGGUUGCCUCGGCCGGGUAAAUAUGCAUUGACACAAUGACAAAUCUCUCCGGUGGCUGAGCGGAAUGGUGGGCCCUAGAGAAGGCAGGAAGAGGCUGAGGAGAGCAACCCCACAACAGAUGCCCAUUCCCUUUUUGACUAGGUUUGCAAAAGCCUCGUGUACACUCAAGGUCAUGAGGCUUUUGCAAAGAGGGGGCAUAGUUUCCCGGGAAACGACUUCACCCCAGGAGUGGAAUCCACACCUUAGUUUACAGAGCUCCCUUCAAACUAGUUACUGAACUUGCAGCCCAGGUUUGCACCCGUUCCCUCUGUCCCAUCUCUUGAUUCCGAGUCUGGGUCCCCACCCCACCCCUUCCCCUGGCUCUGCAUCCAGUGCAGGGUGCAAAUGUCACGUCCAGUCCUGGCAGGGUGCAAGAAACAAGGCUGGACCCCACAGUGAACCAUUCUGUAAGGCCAAGCAGGGGGGCAGAGGGUGUGCUAGUGAAAGCGAUCCCCGCCCUCUCUUGGCCUUCUGCAGGGACACCUUGGCAUCCACUCACCCCCCUCAGGUGACAGUGUGGGAUUAGCCGGUCGCCAUUUGGGGCCGAGUAGGAAUUUUCCCCAUCCACCCGGAUUGGCCUGGAGGUGGCUGGUUUUUUGCCUACUCUGCACUGUUGCACUGGAAGGGAUUUCUGAUCUGGCGGAUGUUAGGAGUGGUGCCGCUAAAUAGUGUAGCCCCUUGGUCACCAUGGCAGGUCCGAGGAGGGGAUGUAGUGCCCCACCCCAUUGGUGGCAGGUGCGAUUUCCCCCAGCUACACUCUAGUUCUCUGCUAAAAUGAGUCAAUAAAGUGAUGGCCCUAGUUUCAACCCA